CAGUGACCUAGGCCUACCUGCCACCAAAAAAGAUCUGCUGGUGGCAUAUGACGAGCAGGACAAGAAUGACAUCAGUGCAACUAGAACUGCAGCCCUGCCUGGGCUGCCACUGUACCUAAAAGAAGACUCAUCAGUGAUCUUCAAGAGUUGCAAGGAGGAGGAGUUCGAAGCAUUCCAGAAGGGUGCAGUGGCGCUGUUGGCCGUGGUGGCUAAAGAGGACAUUGCGGCAGGGAUUCCCUUUCAACCUCUCCAUGUCUGUCAUCCUGGAGGAUCAGGUUGUAAUGACUCUCAGAUCUUGGACUGAUGCACUGGUGGUGUUGUUUAGCUUGAUCUAUGCCCUCAAUUUGAGCUAUCCGGCGAAGCUGCGUCACUUCUUUGAGUUCAUCCAGGUUGUCCUCUUAACUCUAGAUGAUGGAAGAAAACAGCUCAAACCUAAGUUGCAGGCCUUGAAAAAUGAGUUAGAGUAAAGAGGGGACGUCCUGCACCAAGACUUCCAGCAGUCAUGGUUUACAGCCCAACAAAGUCUUACAUGCAGAAAUCAGUUCAUAGAAAUGAUCAGUUCAUAUAAAAAUCGGGACUUGUAUUGACUAAAUUCCCUUUAUGCACAGCUCAACUACUUCCUGAAUCUCAGACGCUCUUUCAUUACCUCUGGAACAGGAUGGGACAUAACUAAUUAAACCACCUGUGCUUGAUCUCAGCAGCCAACAACAAGCAAGCACACCUGGUUUAAUUAGGUCCAAUCCUGUAUCAGAGGAAAUAUGUGUCUGGGAUUCAGGAAGUAUUGGAGCCUAUAGCUCUUUGCUAAUUUCUAUAGAUGGUUUAUCAGGAAUUACAGUUCUGUUGCCGCUCCCCUGCAUUCUCUGACCUCCCCCAACGUCAAGUUCCAGUGGUCCCCCUCAACGGAACAAGCCUUCCAGAGGCUAAUGGACAUUUUCACAUCUGCUCCUGUCCUCACUCAUCCUGAACCCUGUCUACAAUUUGUGGUGGAAGUGAAUGCCUCUGAUGUUGGAGUUGGGGCAGUCCUCUCCCAGCGUUCACAGGAAGACAAUAAACUCCACCCUUGCGCCUACUUCUCCCGGGAAAACUCUCUCCUGCUGAGAGAAAUUAUGAUGUUGGGAAUAAAGAGUUGUUGGCCAUCAAAGUGGCUCUGGAGGAAUGGCGUCACUGGUUGGAGGGAGUGGAACACCCCUAUCUGGGGUGCCGAGUCUCCCAAAAUCCGGCCACAUGGAGCAAGCAUCUCAUCUGGGUAGAGUAUGCACACAACAUCCUACCCAGUUCAUCUACUGGGGUACGUUCGUCGUAGAGUUGAAGCUAAGUUAAUCAAUUGGCCUUUUAGCCCGUUAAGAUUAGCGAGCUGAUU